rnacentral:lncRNA from 1 species
GGGUGUUAACAAAAUAUUCCAAGUUGCCACAUAACCGCGGGCACGGCUUUCUGAAAGAUUAAACCCUGCACGGGUGCUCCAACUAGUCCAUCACAAAUGAACACAGGCCGCAAAGGCAUCCUCUAUCACGAAUCUCGUGAUCUCGUCGGAUUCCUUAGAGAAAAACCUCAACUCUGGGGAAAACCAAAGCCUCACCGGGAUUCCUAUACGCAAGAUAUACCGCUAAGGCAAGACAAGACUAGCAGGACCUCCCGACGUGUCGACGACCCCGAUAAGAGCCGCGUAUCUCAGUCUCAGG